GGAUGUGAGGGUGAUUUGGCUGCAACACCCAUCACCCCAUUAGUUGACAGAAUUGAUUCUGUUAAUCUGGCUGGCUAGGUCAUGUCCCCUUCCUCCCUCUCUGCUCCUUAUGUGUCCUUCCCAAGCCUGCACUCAGUCGAAGAGGAUGGCCUUCCCUGAUAUUGGAGGAUUGUUCUUUGGUCAAGGGUAUAUGGGUAGCUGUGCUCCCCUGCUAGAACCUACAAAUAAGCUCUUGAGGUCCAUUUGUAGAAGAAUGUAGGGUAGUCAGGUUUCCAAGACUCCAGACCCAUCCAGAUGAGGUGCUACAUUU
rfam:Canis lupus familiaris chromosome 10, whole genome shotgun sequence.